AAGUCGUAACAAGGUUUCCGUAGGUGAACCUGCGGAAGGAUCAUUAUUGAAUAAACUUGAUGGAUUGUUGCUGGCUCUGUUCAUAGAGAGUAUGUGCACGUCUGUCAUUUUUAUAUAUUCUCCAUGUGCACUUAUGCAUAGACCUGAAUAUUUGGCUGAUCAAAGAUUUCUUUGAUUUCUGGAAAUUGCUGUUAUAAAUAUACCAGCUUUUUCUGUAUUCAGGUUCUGUGGAUUUUAUAUAUACUCCAAUGUAUGAUGAAUGAACGUUCUUAAAGGGCUUGUAAAGCUCAUAAAUUUGUAAUACAACUUUCAGCAACGGAUCUCUUGGCUCUC
rnacentral:misc_RNA from 1 species